UGAAUAAUGUUCUUACUAUAUUUUUUUUUAAUUUUUAUUAGAAAUAUCUUUGAAUUUAGUACAUUAAGGAAUAUAUUUGAUUUUGUUAUAGUUUAUUAGUACCGUGAGGGGUUUGGAUGAAAUAGUUGAAAAUUUAAAUUUAAUAUAAGUAGAUUUUAUUUAUUGUACCUUUUGUAUCAGGGUUGAUUAAGUAUUAUUAAUUUAAUUUUAUUUUCCCGAUUUCAAGAGAGCUAAUAUUAAUAAUUUAUUUAUUGUUGCAUAACUAUUAAAUAUAUAUAUUAGAGAAGAAAUUUCAUUCGUUCUUGAUGGUAUCUGGUUUUUUAAGAAUUAAAUUUAAUUUAUUUUCGUUAUUUAAAUUAUUUUUUUUAAUAUAAUUUAUUUAUCGAAUUAAAAAUUAUAGGGGAUAAGCUCUAUAUUGAUUUAUAAGUUUGAUUAUAUUUUAUUUUAUGUAGGGUUAAGAUUAUCUAUCAUUAAGAAGUGUGUUAUAAUAUAAAUUAGUUAUGAAUUGAUUUUUUUUACUUUAAUUUAUUAUUAAAAUAUUUGAUUUAAUUUUAGUUUCUAGGUAAUAAUGAUUAAAUUAGUAUAAUUAUUUUAUUUUUAAUUAAUUUUAUGAGAUAAUAAAUUAAGGAACUCGGCAAAUAUAACACUCGCCUGUUUAACAAAAACAUGUCCUCUUGGGAAAAAUAGGAGGUCUGACCUGCCCAGUGAUAUUAUUUUAACGGCCGCGGUAUAUUGACCGUGCAAAGGUAGCAUAAUCAUUAGUCUUUUAAAAGAGGGCUGGAAUGAAAGGUUUGACGAGGUGUUAACUGUCUCAUUUUAUUUGAUUUUAAAAUUUAACUUUUUAGUCAAAAGGCUAAAAUUUAAUUGGAAGACGAGAAGACCCUAUAGAGCUUUAUAUUUUUUUUUCUUAAUAAUUUUAUAUAAUUUAUUAUUAUGGGAAUCAGUAUUUUGUUGGGGUGACAAGAAUAUAUAAUAAACUUUUUUAUUUAUAUAACAUUGAUAUAUGAGUAUUAGAUCCAUUAUUAUUGAUUAUUAGAUUAAGUUACCUUAGGGAUAACAGCGUAAUCCUCCCCCAGAGUUCAUAUUUACGGGUAGGGCUUGCGACCUCGAUGUUGGAUUAAGAUAAUACUUAGGUGUAGCCGCUUAAGGUAUAGGUCUGUUCGACCUUUAAAUUCUUACAU
rnacentral:rRNA from 1 species